AGGACGAACGCUGGCGGCGUGCUUAACACAUGCAAGUCAAGGGGGCCCAGCAAUGGGCAACCGGCGAACGGGUGCGUAACACGUGAGCAACCUACCGAACUGUGGGGGAUAGCCGGCCUAACGGCCGAGUAAUACCGCAUACGCUCUCAGUGAGGCAUUUCAUUGAGAGGAAACCUACGGGACAGAUCGAGGGGCUCGCGGCCUAUCGAGCUAGUUGGCGAGGUAACGCUCACCAAGGCAACGACGGUAGCUGGUCUGAGAGGAUGGCCAGCCACAUUGGGACUGAGAUACGGCCCAGACUCCGUAACGGGAGGCAGCAGUGGGGAAUCGUUGCGCAAUCGGCUAACGGCUGACGCAGCGACGCCGCGUGUGGAUGGAAGUCU
rnacentral:rRNA from 1 species